rnacentral:rRNA from 1 species
UACGUAGGGACCAAGCGUUGUCCGGAAUCAUUGGGCGUAAAGCGCGCGUAGGUGGCCAUUUAAGUCCGCUGUGAAAGUCAGAGGCUCAACCUUUGAAAGCCGGUGGAUACUGGAUGGCUAGAGUACGGAAGAGGCGAGUGGAAUUCCUGGUGUAGCGGUGGAAUGCGCAGAUAUCAGGAGGAACACCCGUGGCGAAGGCGGCCAUCUGGACCAGUACUGACGCUGAGGCACGAAAGCGUGGGGAGCAAACAGG